rnacentral:other from 1 species
UUUCCCCUACGGUGUUUGUGAUCAACGGAGGAAACUUAAACCAACAAAGAAGAAAAAGGAAGCUGUCCCUUGCCGUGGCCGCCAGGCCCCCAGUUGCGGGGAAGGCUCAAGCGGUAAUAUGGCAUCCACCUGGUUAUCCAGGUUCAAGUUGACUCUUUGACACGGCAGAAUGUGGGGGAAAC